GAUGAACGCUGGCGGCGUGCCUAAUACAUGCAAGUCGAGCGAAUGGAUUAAGAGCUUGCUCUUAUGAAGUUAGCGGCGGACGGGUGAGUAACACGUGGGUAACCUGCCCAUAAGACUGGGAUAACUCCGGGAAACCGGGGCUAAUACCGGAUAACAUUUUGAACCGCAUGGUUCGAAAUUGAAAGGCGGCUUCGGCUGUCACUUAUGGAUGGACCCGCGUCGCAUUAGCUAGUUGGUGAGGUAACGGCUCACCAAGGCAACGAUGCGUAGCCGACCUGGGAGGGUGAUCGGCCACACUGGGACUGAGACACGGCCCAGACUCCUACGGGAGACAGCAGUAGGGAAUCUUCCGCAAUGGACGAAAGUCUGACGGAGCAACGCCGCGUGGGUGAUGAAGGCUUUCGGGUCGUAAAACUCUGUUGUUAGGGAAGAACAAGUGCUAGUUGAAUAAGCUGGCACCUUGACGGUACCUAACCAGAAAGCCACGGCUAACUACGUGCCAGCCGCCGCAGUAA
rnacentral:rRNA from 1 species